AACGAACGCUGGCGGCAGGCUUAACACACGCAAGUCGAACGCCCCGCAAGGGGAGUGGCAGACGGGUGAGUAACACGUGGGAACGUGCCCUAAGGUUCGGAAUAUUCCCGGGAAACUGGGAGCAAUACCGAAUGUGUCCGAGAGGAGAAAGAUUUAUCGCCUUAGGAUCGGCCCGCGUCGGAUUAGCUAGUUGGUGGGGUAAUGGCCUACCAAGGCGACGAUCCGUAGCUGGUCUGGGAGGACGACCAGCCACACUGGGACUGAGACACGGCCCAGACUCCUACGGGAGGCAGCAGUGGGGAAUCUUGGACAAUGGGCGCAAGCCUGAUCCAGCCAUGCCGCGUGGAUGAUGAAGGCCUUAGGGUUGUAAAAUCCUUUCGCCGAGGACGAUAAUGACGGUACUCGGAGAAGAAGCUCCGGCUAACUUCGUGCCAGCCGCCGCUGUAAAAC
rnacentral:rRNA from 1 species